UUUCUUAAUCAUCAGAGCAAUAAGAACAAGAAGGAAAUAAUCAAAGUAGUCACACUCAGCUCCUUUUCCUCAGUUGAUGCUUUCUAGAUGAUGUCCAACAAAGAUUCUACAAGUCAUAAGGGUAUAUCAACACUACACCUUGAAUACUUUUACUAGCAGCAUUAUAUAUAAUUUUCUAAAGGCACUUUGCCGAAGAUGCCAAUCCGUUGAUACUAGAGCCUGUCCAGCAGAGUAAUAAAUAAAAUAUAAAAUGAGGAACACAUAGUUCAAAUGAACAUGCAAUAGUACUCUAAAGGGCAAAAGAACCAAAUUAAGCAGGUUCACACAACUGAACCGUCGUAAGCCGAGAAUAGUAUAGCUUAUCUCUGUAAUCUAAUCUGAGUUCCACGCUGGUUAGCAGACUCAACUACCUUUAUCUGUCUUUUUAAGUUCCAGUCCAAUGACUUACAAUACUUGCUUAGUGUGCUCCUGCACUAGCACAUGGCUUCUCUUCAUUGAUUAUAUGUUCUUGUUAUUUUAUUUCUGCAAGGCUGCAAAAAGAAGACCCAUCUGUUGUUGCUUGUGGGAACUGGGAGAGAACAAAUUAAUCAAAUGCUAUUGUAAACUACGCUCUUGGAAAUGAGUGCACAAUGCACUGGGACGAGUCUUCUUUUUAGGACCAAACGCAAAGAGCUAAUUAAUUGGUCUGGUACCUGCAAAGUUAACACAUGCUUUAUGAGCUAAUUGUAAUAAGACAACAAUGAGUGUUAUGUGCAACUUUAAGCUAGUGAAUCACAUUGAAUUUUAAUAUGACAUGAUGUUGCCAUAGUGUAAAGUGGACAU
rnacentral:lncRNA from 1 species